rnacentral:rRNA from 1 species
UACGGGGGGGGCAAGCGUUGUUCGGAAUUACUGGGCGUAAAGGGCGUGAAGGCGGCCAACUAAGUCGGAUGUGAAAUCCCCAGGCUCAACCUGGGAACUGCAUCCGAUACUGGAUGGCUUGAAUCCGGGAGAGGGAUGCAGAAUUCCAGGUGUAGCGGUGAAAUGCGUAGAUAUCUGGAGGAAUACCGGUGGCGAAGGCGGCAUCCUGGACCGGCAUUGACGUUGAGGAGCGAAAGCCAGGGGAGCAAACGGG